GGCUGGUCUUGCACUGCUCCUGCUCCAGCCGUGACCCGGCUCCCACCUCGUCCCGUGAUCGCUCUGCUCUCUGCUCUGGUCUUCGGCACAUGACUCACUUUCUGGGACUCGGCCCGUGCUCACUCUGCUCCCAGUAUGGCUGAGACAUGCUGGUCUGGUCUCCAUCUCCAUUCUCCACUCCCUCCAGAGUGUUACAAAUGAUGGACAACCGUAAAAAUGGGCACAUCUAUUUAACCACAGCGAUGCUGGAUUGGAGUCAUCUGUGAAAGAGAUUGGAUAAGUAUGGCUGGAGAGUGCCAGAUGAAAGAGGCAGCAGUGGCAGCAAAACCAGGACUUAACAUACAUGGCUCCACCCCAGACCGAAGUCUCUGAGGAACACGUCCUGGGCUGACUCCCCUGGCCCGGAUUAGCAGGCUAGGCCAAGGCUCCAGUUCCGCAGCUUGGCCUGGGUGCCUGAGGGAGGAGAAAGGCAGUCUUGGCCCAACAUGGUGAUCUCCCACUGUGGCUGCAUUGCCCUAGCCUGGAGGACUUCUUCAGUAGAGGCUUCCAGCCCAGAAUUCCAGCAGCCUGCGUGGUAGUCUCAUCCCGGCAGCAUCUUCAGGAUAUUCCAUCGGUCCUUUGUUGGCUUUUUCUGAGCCCAGUAGCCGUUAACUGAACUCUGAUGAACUUUGUCUUAAUUUUACUUUUUUAAAUUAUAUAUGACUUCUGUAAGCGCUGUGGUGGGGCAACUUAAAAAUGUCUCAUUGUAUUUUUCAUGCAAAAAUACACAUGGCAAUAAAUUUCUAUUCUGUUCUAUUCCAGGCGCUGGUAGAUGACAUUUGGCCCUUCUAGGUGCAUAGCUGUUCAAUUAAAAUCAUGGCUUAUCUUUUGACCGAACUCCACUUUACUGCACUUUCCCCAUUUCCCUUAAUCUUAAUAUCCAACCACUGAUCAACAUCAAUCUUGAAUGCACACAACUAUACUUCAGCAUGUGGAUUACAGCGUUUCAAAAAGUCUGACUCCAAUCUCCUCAAGGGCAACUGGGGUUGGAUAAUAAAUGCUGGUCCUGUCUGAGAAUAAUCUCUUUUAAAAAAAAUGCUUCUCUAAUGGCAGCAUCAUCAGCUAUACAGAGUGUCAGGAGCAUCACGUAACAUAUUAAACUCUCAACAUGCCUUGAAAUAAGGGAGGAGGAAAAUCAAUUUCCAAGC